AUUGAACGCUGGCGGCAGGCCUAACACAUGCAAGUCGAACGGUAGCACAGAGAGCUUGCUCUCGGGUGACGAGUGGCGGACGGGUGAGUAACGUCUGGGAAACUGCCCGAUGGAGGGGGAUAACUACUGGAAACGGUAGCUAAUACCGCAUAACGUCGCAAGACCAAAGUGGGGGACCUUCGGGCCUCACACCAUCGGAUGUGCCCAGAUGGGAUUAGCCAGUAGGUGGGGUAAUGGCUCACCUAGGCGACGAUCCCUAGCUGGUCUGAGAGGAUGACCAGCCACACUGGAACUGAGACACGGUCCAGACUCCUACGGGAGGCAGCAGUGGGGAGUAUUGCACAAUGGGCGCAAGCCUGAUGCAGCCAUGCCGCGUGUAUGAAGAAGGCCUUCGGGUUGUAAAGUACUUUCAGCGGGGAGGAAGGCGGUGAAGUUAACAGCUUCACCGAUUGACGUUACCCGCAGAAGAAGCACCGGCUAACUCCGUGCCAGCCGCCGCCGUAA
rnacentral:rRNA from 1 species